GUCAGCAAAAUAAUAGCUUUAAAUAAUAGCUGAUUUUGUCUAAUGUCUCAUGAAGUUUUUGUGGGUAAUCUGAACAUAAUUGUUGGGAUCAAAUGAUUUAAAUAGACAAAAAUGGGGAA